rnacentral:tRNA from 1 species
AUUUAAAUAGUUUAAAAAAAACAUUGAUUUGUGGUGUCAAAAAUAUAGAUUAACUAUUUUAGAUC